GAACGCUGGCGGCGUGCCUAAUACAUGCAAGUCGAACGAGGUGCUUUUGUAGCAAUACGAAAGUAUCCUAGUGGCGAACGGGUGAGUAACGCGUUGGUGACCUACCCCAAAGUGUGGGAUAACAGUUCGAAAGAACUGCUAAUACCGCAUGUGGUUAUCGGAUUUAGAAACUGAUAACUAAAGGAGCAAUUCGCUUUGGGAGGGACCUGCGUCCCAUCAGCUAGUUGGUGAGGUAAUGGCUCACCAAGGCUACGACGGGUAGGGGACCUGAGAGGGUGACCCCCCACAAUGGAACUGAAACACGGUCCAUACACCUACGGGUGGCAGCAGUAGGGAAUAUUGCACAAUGGGCGAAAGCCUGAUGCAGCAACGCCGCGUGUGCGAUGAAGGCCCUCGGGUCGUAAAGCACUUUUCUGAGAGAUGAGCAAGGACAGUAUCUCAGGAAUAAGUCUCGGCUAACUACGUG
rnacentral:rRNA from 1 species